GACGAACGCUGGCGGCGUGCCUAACACAUGCAAGUCGAGCGAUGAAAUCCUUCGGGAUGGAUUAGCGGCGGACGGGUGAGUAACACGUGGGUAACCUGCCUCAAAGAGGGGAAUAGCCUUUCGAAAGGAAGAUUAAUACCGCAUAAGAUUGUACUGCCACAUGGCAGAGCAAGAAAAGGAGCAAUCCGCUUUGAGAUGGACCCGCGGCGCAUUAGCUAGUUGGUGAGGUAACGGCUCACCAAGGCCACGAUGCGUAGCCGACCUGAGAGGGUGAUCGGCCACAUUGGAACUGAGACACGGUCCAGACUCCUACGGGAGGCUG
rnacentral:rRNA from 1 species